CGCCGCCGGGAUUGUGCCAGCAGCCGCGGUAAUACGUAGGGUGCGAGCGUUGUCCGGAAUUACUGGGCGUAAAGAGCUCGUAGGUGGUUUGUCGCGUUGUUCGUGAAWUCUCACGGCUUAACUGUGAGCGUGCGGGCGAUACGGGCAGACUAGAGWACUGCAGGGGAGACUGGAAUUCCUGGUGUAGCGGUGGAAUGCGCAGAUAUCAGGAGGAACACCGGUGGCGAAGGCGGGUCUCUGGGCAGUWACUGACGCUGAGGAGCGAAAGCGUUGGGGAGCGAACAGGAUUAGAUACCCUGGUAGUCCACGCCGUAAACGGUGGGUACUAGGUGUGGGUUUCCUUCCUUGGGAUCCGUGCCGUAGCUAACGCAUUAAGUACCCCGCCUGGGGAGUACGGCCGCAAGGCUAAAACUCAAAGGAAUUGACGG
rnacentral:rRNA from 1 species